rnacentral:rRNA from 1 species
UACGUAGGGGGCGAGCGUUGUCCGGAAUUAUUGGGCGUAAAGAGCGUGUAGGCGGUUCGGUAAGUCUGCUGUGAAAUCCUGGGGCUCAACCCCGGGCGUGCAGCGGAUACUGCCGGGCUAGAGGGUGGUAGAGGCGAGUGGAAUUCCCGGUGUAGCGGUGAAAUGCGCAGAUAUCGGGAGGAACACCAGUAGCGAAGGCGGCUCGCUGGGCCACUCCUGACGCUGAGACGCGAAAGCCAGGGGAGCAAACGGG